GUCUUUGGAGGCUGGGGCUGCGCGAUCAGCUACAGUCACAACACAUACACACAGCUGGAAGAUCGACUGGAACCGCUUGCUGUGAAGACAGUCCGGGAUCUGCUCUCAGCCGUGAGACUGACAGCAGCGUUUGGGCUCUCUCAUUGGCGAAGCCUGGGUUAAAGCCGCCUGCCCGCCCACCGCCCAGCCACCUCAUUCUCACUCACACUCGGCCGCUCCUUUCUGCUUACGCCGAGUGACUUCCUUCGAAAUGCACGGGAGUUCCGUUUCCCAGCGGAACGACACGAUGCCUGGGAAGGCAGAAUCGGGUGGCGGAUCUUCAAAGGGGCUGCUGAUCCACCGGAGACUUCCUGUAGCCCCGAAUCGGUGUGACUGAAGGCGGGCGACAGCUCAGAGAACAGACCUGCACAGCGGCUACACUCAGUUGCAGCGCUAUUGACAUUUUCAGGAUGUUGUGCUGUGGUCACCAACUCCCACAUAAUGGCUCCCUGCAUUCAGCAAAAACAUCAAAUUAAACUUGUUAGACUGUCGAGAUACUCACCAGUAAGUCACAGUUUAAAAUGGACUGCUGCUCUGUGAGGUCGCUGCAUAAACCAGCAAAAUCAGCAGGGUAUUAAAGCAACAUACAAGCAACUAGAAACACAGCAUGAUGUUUACAUCACGUAUAUCAUCAGGAUGAAAUGGCUCACCAUUUAAUCUAUGGAACUUGCACAGCAGUGGUUAAGAAUUCCAGUCCCACUAUUGUAAGUUGUGUAUCUGACAAUUUGUAGCUUGGUUCUGGAAAAUGACCAUACUGCCAAAUUGGAAAAAAAAGACUUUCACUGAUCUUCCUCUUUCUGGAGUGGGACACUGCCUUCUUCCCCCAUCACAUCUAAGUCCAUUACUCACGGCAACUAAGAAAAUGAGACAAACACUGAUUUGCCAAAUGUUGCAUUAAAUACAAUAUGAUGUGUAAAAAUAUUCCUGAAAUGAAAUGACAGCCCUGAAAUCCUUACAGGACAUGCACCUGUAAAUGAUCAUCAAAGUGUCCACUUUGGGUACUUUCAUCAAGCACUUUGUUUAAUGAAUUAACAUAAUAUCACUUCAUCGCUGGAGUUGCGUUUUAAUGCAGCUCACACUAGUCUGAUGAAAACCUCUUCUGCCUAUUGUAAGUAGAACAUUGUAACUGAAGUUAUGCAUUUGUGGAAUGAAUUUCUGAUAGUUUUAACUUGGUUUCUAAUGGAUAUCAUUUCAUAGUGAAAUAGUGCCAAUCCUUUGCUACAAAUUAAUUACAUUAACAAUGGUGUUUGUUCAAAGUCAUAAGAAUGACAGGUAUGUAAAAUGAAAACAUUCUCACUGAUGCAGUGGAGGCUGUUGCUUUGAGAUUUGUUUUGAGACAGAUUUAGGGAAAAUUUAUGCUGUAGUCUAUGUGUAACAAAAGCACAAAUCUGCAUAUCAAAAAUACUCUGCUGUUUUGUUGAAUGUUACACAAUGAAAAUCUCUCUAUUUUAGACAUAUGCAACGGUUGACCUCAAGUUGCACAGACUAAGGGUCAAAAGUCAAAGCGUGCUCUGUCUUCUAGUACUGAAGGCUGACUUAGAGGAGCAUAAUGUUACCAAAUGGUUAGCACCAAUUUAGACUGAAUGACAAUAAAAUGAAUUUUUCAAAUUCCAAAUGCAAUCAUUUAACUUAGGUGCCACCAGUUACCUUUUGAAUGGAACAUCCCAGCAGCUAAUAUUGGCAAUUAAAAUUGACAUUUGUUGGGGUGAAGAAUGGAGCAGUUGCCCCUCAACAGAAACUGGUCGCAGUUAAUUUUAACAGUGAAAGGAAAAUACUGCUGCAGAUCAAGGCUGUACUAAAUCAAAAUAAUAUCCUUGAACGUGAGCACAAACAUCAUCCAAAUGUACAAACAAGGAAUUGUGUAUGCACUUGAUCCUUCAAGCCUGCUUCAUCUUUCAAUAAGAUCAUGACUGAUUUGAUUUUAACCUCAACUCUACAUUCCUCUGCAUCUCUGAUACUCUUUCAUCUCCUUAAUAUCAAGAAUCUUAUCUACCUCUGCCAUAAAAAUAUUUGAACAUUCAGCAUCCACUUGGAGGAAGAGGCAUUCAAUGAUUCACAAGCAUCCAAGCCAAAAAUAAAGCAGUGAAAUACAGAAAAUGUUGUUUUAACUGGCACCUCAUCAACCAGCACUCUUGAUAAACCGGCAAACAGAUUUCAAAUACUGAGAUGUCGAAGUGUAACAGUGACCAUAGAGUCAUAGAGAUGUACAGUAUGGAAAUAGACCCUUCGGUCCAACCCGUCCAUGCCGACCAGAUAUCCCAACCCAAUCUAGUCACACCUGCCAGCCAGCAGCCCAUAUCCCUCCAAUUCAUAUACCCAUCCAAAUGCGUCUUAAAUGUUACAAUUGUACUAGCCUCCACCACAUCUUCUGGCAGCUCAUUCCAUACACCUACCACCCUCUGCGUGAAAAAGUUGCCCCUUAGGUCUCUUUUAUAUCUUUCCCCUCUCACCCUAAACCCAUGCCCUGUAGUUCUGGACUCCCUUCUGAGAAGACUUUGUCUAUUUAUCCUAUCCAUGCCCCUCAUAAUAUUGUAAACCUCUAUAAGGUCACCCCUCAGCCUGCGACGCUCCAGGGAAAACAGUCCCAGCCUGUUCAGCCUCUCCCUGUAGCUCUGAUCCUCCAACCCUGGCAACAUCCUUGUAAAUCUUUUCUGAACCCUUUCAAGUUUCACAACAUCUUUUCGAUAGGAAGGAGACCAGAAUUGCAUGCAAUAUUCUAACAGUGGCCUAACCAAUCUCCUGUACAGCUGCAACAUGACCUCCCAACUCCUGUGCUCAAUACUCUGACCAAUAAAGGAAAGCAUACUAAAUGCCUUCUUCACUAACAUAUCUAUCUGCAACUCUACUUUCAAGUGUGUAUACCGACUGCAUUAUGUUUCUGUACUCACUAUGUGUUUUUGCAUUGACUUCAGGAAGCAUGUUGAUGCUUUUACAUAGAUUUUUGGAGGGGUGUUGGUGUGUGCCGAAGUUUCACUCAGUCAGGGUUUAUUGUGGUUAUGCAUACCUCUUAAUCAUCAGGAAUAUUUGAUCAAUGACACACUCCUGGUCCUCUUGGUGCCAGUUAACAAAAGAUUGCUCUACUAAAAGUAAUGACAUAGAAUCUGGUCUAGAUUGGUGGGGUGUCAAAUGUGUAUUUUCUUUGUGGUUAAGAUGACAAUAAAUUGUUAGCAUGGA